rnacentral:rRNA from 1 species
GAGAUCGCUCCUACCCGGAGCGAGUACGGUGGCGAACGGGUGCGUACCGCGUGACCAGAUGGGGAUGAGAGGAGAACAACUACGGGAAACUGUAGCUAAUACUCCAUAACGUCUGAACCCCACAUGGGCACCAGAUCAAAGCUUUAUGCGCUCAGGGAUGGGGUCGCGUCGGAUUAGCUCGUUGGUGAGGUAACGGCUCACCACGGCAACAAUCCCUGGCUGGGCUGAGAGGAUGAUCAUCCACCCUGGCGCUGAGACGCGGGCCCUACUCCUACGGGAGGCACCCUUGGGGAAUCUUACGCAAUGGGGGAAACCCUGACCUAGCCGUGCCGCGUGGAUGAAUACACCCCUAUGGGGCGUAAACUCCUUUUCUACCGGAAGAAAACCCUGUUUUGCCCGGCGUGACCGUUCCGUACGAAUAAGCACCGGCUAACUCCGUGCCCGCUGCCGCGGUAAUACGGAGGGUGCAAGCGUUGUCCGGAAUCACUGGGCGUAAAGGGUGUGCCCGUGGGACAGCCAGGCAAAUGUGAAAGACCAUGGCGUACCCGUGGAACUGCCUUUGUGACUGCUUUUCUUGAGUCCCGGAGAGGUGGCUGGAAUUCGUGGUGAACCCCUGAAAUGCGUACAUAUCACUAGGAACACCUUAAGCGUAAGCGACCAACUCGUGGGGGACUGACAUGAGGCAUGAGAGCGUAGGCACAAACAAGAUUAUAUACCCUGGUAUCCCGCUGUAGAGAUGAAUGCUCGCCUUAUCUUUCUUGAGAAGCACUGGCAAUUUAGCCCGUAAGUUUCCCCCGGGGAUUUCAACCCCG